rnacentral:lncRNA from 1 species
GAACGGGCGUAUUUUGAAGCGACGGCAUUGAGAGAGCAGCGUCGCUGGUGCUCCGAUCAUGUGCCGGAGGUUUAUCAUUUUGAUAGGGAAAUGGCUUUAAUCGGUAUGAGGUACUUGGAGCCUCCGCAUAUAAUUCUUAGAAAGGGCCUGAUUGCUGGAAUUGAGUACCCUUUGCUUGCUGAACACAUGUCUGAGUUUAUGGCGAGGACUCUUUUCUUCACAUCUCUUCUAUACCAUGACACAACCGAGCACAAACGUGCAGGUAAAUGCUUUUUGAUAUAAUUUGUUUCGAGGUUCAUAGUUUCAUGAACGUUCUGGUCUUUUGAUUUUUUUAGAUUAUUCUUUGAAUUGAAGCAUAGGAUGCAAAAUGCAUAAAUUAAUUUAUAAAGUGACUAUGAGUUUUUGAGCAGCAUAAUUGGUACAGCUGUAGUUAAAUAUUUCUGCAGUAAGCCAAGAACUUUGUCUUAUCCUCAAAUAUGUUGUGCCAAGAGUAAUUACUGGUAGAAUGUACGAGAAAAUUGCAGUUUGCUUCUGAUGAAGUUAUUCUAUUGACAAGAUUGAAUCAUGUUCAAAUUGUGCUUUAUGCAGUUGCUGAAUUUUGUGGUAAUGUGGAGUUAUGUCGGCUCACUGAGCAAGUUGUGUUCUCUGAUCCAUACAAAGUAUCUCAGUACAAUCGGUGGACUUCUCCUUAUCUUGACCGUGAUGCUGAGGCAGUUCGAGAGGAUAACAUUUUGAAGCUUGAAGUUGCCGAGUUGAAAUCUAUGUAGUGCUUCCAUAUCAGUACCUCAUUUCUUUACGUAAUAUAAAAUAUUUCUAUUAAUAGCAGUUUAAUUCUGAAGUAAACAGGUUGAAAUCCUUUCUAUGCCUAGUUAGAAUCUAUUUUGCAGGUUCUGUGAGAGAUCACAAGCCCUAGUACAUGGAGAUCUUCAUACUGGUUCAGUUAUGGUUACCCCUGAUUCGACUCAAGUUAUAGAUCCAGAAUUUGGAUUUUAUGGACCAAUGGGGUUUGAUAUAGGCGCAUUUUUAGGAAACUUGAUUUUGGCUUACUUUGCACAAGAUGGGCAUGCUGAUCAAGUGAAUGAUAGAAAAGUAUGUCUGUGUUCUUAACUUCGUUUCUAUGGUUUUUCCCAUUUCCCCAAAGUUUGAAAAUAUUUAGCUGUCCAUAGUCUAGUGUUAAUUUUCUUGUUUCUUUUUUCCUUUGAAUUUUGUCAUAAUCCUUAAUGGUCUUUUCAAUUCAUCCAAUUGUGGCUUUCCUUUGCAUUUCCUCUUAUACCUUAUAGUUUCUUGUUAAAGACAUACAACAUGAGGUCCUUCUUCCUUAUAUCUACAUGGCCUUGAGGUUGAAGUUUGGACCCAGAAAUUUUAACCCUUCUUGUAGAGUUCAAAGAAUAUGCUAAAUGAAUGUGGUUUGGAGGAUGUAGUAAAUGAUUAUAUGAGCUUAAAUUCUGUAUUCAAUGCAUACAGUUUUGAGAACGAUUUAACAUGUUUCCACUUAUCCUUUAGGAUAAACCUUUUUAACUCUAUGAAAAGGAGUUCUUUAGCAUGGACUUUGUAUCUGAAAAAGGUGUUUUCAUAUAAUUUUUGUAUAACAAAACAGAGAAUUCAAUACAAUAGUUUUGAAAUAUUUUUAUCUUGUUCUUUGUGGUGUGAUGUUUAUCUUCAAUUCCUUUAUUUAAUUUACAUUAUUAAUUAUGUUUUGUAUUUGACUGAAUGUUAACUUUUUGUUUGUCCGUUUUGUAUUGGUUUUCUGCCAUUUACCACUGUUACCUGCCCUUAGAACUGUAUUGUAUAAAUUCUAGGCUCCACGUAGAAUCCCUGACUUGAUGCUAAGCCAUAACUCAUCAUGGACAUUAAGUACUUUCUAUUCCUCAAUUCUUAAAGAAUUAAAAAUGUCAUUGUUGGGUAAUGAUCCUCAAGCCUUUUCUUUUGCAGACAUAUAAAGAAUGGAUUUUGAAGGCAAUAGAACAGACUUGGAAUCUUUUCCACAAAAAAUUUACUGCAUUAUGGGAUGAACACAGGAAUGGCUCUGGUGAGGCGUAUCUUCCAGAAAUUUAUAAUAACUCUGAACUUCAGCUUCUUACACAAAAGAAAUACAUGCAAGGUUUGUUGCAUGACACCCUCGGAUUUGGUGCUGCCAAAAUGAUAAGGUGAGGUUGUGAUUCAGUUUGUUAAUUAUAUUUUUUGUAUCAUUGCUUUCUUCUACUAUUGAUGCUUCUUUUCUAUUUCCUUGCAUCUUUAAAAACAUUUUAUGACAGUACAAAUGUAGAUAUCUUCUUAAGCUUUUUUUACUACAUUUUAUGGCAUUUUUCUUUGAAAUUUUAGAUUUGUAGAUUUAUUUUUAGUUUUAUUUUCAUUUUUUAGUUUUAGGCAUUUUAAAUGAUCCUUAAACCUUUGAAUGUCAAAUGGAAAUAUUGGUUUAAAUAUAUAAUUAUACCAAUUCAAGUACUUGAAACAUCGAUUUAUAUAAGUGGUAUCAUGAAGCCCUGUGUUACAUUCUUGUCAUAGACUUCAUACAAUUAUCUCUUUUUAAGACUUAUCGAUCUUUUGAUUCACAGGAGAAUUGUUGGUGUAGCACAUGUUGAGGAUUUUGAAUCAAUUGUUGAUGCUAGCAAGCGAGCUAACUGUGAGAGACAGGCACUUGUAUUUGCAAAGAUGCUUUUGAAGGAAAGGAGAAAAUUUCAGGCUAUCACUGAAGUUGUUUUAGCCGUUCAGCAAGAACAAUCAUGAGAAAAGUAUUAGGUAAAGUUGAAUGUUUGGUUAGGGCAUGCAGAAUUAGUUGGGGUGGGUGUUCUGAUAUGAUUUGGAUCCCAAAUUGCCAUUUGGAGCAAUGAUGAUACGAUAUUAUAUCUGGUUUAUACCAAUGAUCUGAAUUGCACUUCUUGCUGUAUUUGCUUCUGUUGUUUGCUACAAAUGAUUCUCAUAAGGUCCUGAUGAAAUUAUCAAUCCACAGAUUGAUACAUUUUAAAAAUUUUACCAAUAUUUUCUAUAUCUGAUCAGCUUUACUAUAUGCUUUUAUGAAUGCAAGUAAUUCUACAUCUUCAUAUGUGAUUAAAAAUAACCUCUUAUGCACCAUAUUAUUUACUAUAAUUCAGAAUUAACUUGGCUAUUUUCCAUGAAGUCUAGCAAUUUCAGAACAGAGUAUUUAAUCUUGGUGGUGGGGGGAGAACAGAGUAUUUAAUCUUGACGGGAUAUGCUUUUUAGCCCUUUGCUCAUUGCAUUUAUAUGUUUCCCCGCAAUGAGUUUGAACCCAAAAGCUUCUAAACCCACUUUUUUGUUUCAUAUGUAAGACUCCAUGCAUCAAAAAGUCAUUUGAAGUUCGAACAAAAAAUGAACCUGUAUGUCUUAGUUUCUCCUGACAGAGUGUCUUUCUGAUCUGUCACAGUAAUUUGAUCCAUUGAAUGGUGAUUGGAGUUUUUGAGACAGGGAUCGAAUACUAGAAUAUAUUGUUUGGCCUUGGAUUUACCCAAUAAUCAAUUCCUUACCUUUCCAACUGUGUCCCUACCUACCAAUCCAAAACAAACUAAUCUUGCUCCUAUAUAUAUAUAUUUAACAGGAAACUUUUUCUUUUUCUUUUUCUUUUUCCUUUUUGGUUGUCCCUGUUGAGACUCCAACCUUGAACAUCCCAUAUCCCCACACAAAUCCUUGCCACUUGGCCUCAAGGGCUAGUCUUGCUUAUAUUGAUACUAAUUAAACACUGAAAAGAUCCUAUCUUGAUUGGCUUUGAAGCUAUAUCAUUGAACCCAUAUUACAUUUUUAGCGUGAACAAUAUGAAUUCGUUUAGAUAUUGCAUGUUUCUUCAUCUUUGUUGAAACUAAUCUAUCCAGUGGGUGGUCCAUAUUGGUUUUCCAAGGUCUUCAAACAUUCAGAUUGAAACUAAUCUACCGGAAGAACUACUUAAGACUUUGAUCUAGUUAAUUUAUCGAUGUCAGUUUUGUGACUGAUGAGCAUGGGAUUAGCCACAAUGGUUGGUCAUGAACUUUAAAUAUUCUUGAAGUAGAUCAUGUUAAAGUCAUGUGAAGGGAACGGCAAUUGAAUGGUGAAGGAAAUCUUGAUUUGUAUGUUUUAUACCAGCAACAACAUUACCAUAGAUUUUCUGUAUGCUUGUCCUGUUUGAACCAACAAUAUUAGCUUAAAAAAUGUGUGCUUGUUAGAGAGAGAUUUUUAAAGGGUAUCCUGACCCAUGACUUAUGCUGCAUCUGUUGAGGCAUGAGAAGCACACCUUUUACAAGCCUUGGCUUGAGGCAAAAGAGUUCAUUGUCUAGUUAGGCUCAAUUUCCAGUUACAUGAUGCAUAUUAGAAAAAAAUAAUCGGACGCACCCUAACUUUUUUUGAUAAGCUUACACAAGAUGACUGACCAUCUGAUCCAGGAUGGAUCUCUAUUCAACUGUUGUAUGCUGUGAUGAAAUGCGGAAGAAUUUGACAUUUGCUGUGAUAAAAUGAGGAAGAAUUUAACAAUUUGGGGGAAAGGGAGUGGGUUUGUGGUUGUGUUUUUGGGGUUGGGUUUGGUUUGGGUUGGUUGUUUUUUGGGAGCAUCGCUUGGUUUGGUUGGGUGGUGGUUGUUUGUCACUUGUUAGGCGAGGAGAAGGGGAGGAGGUGUGGUGUGGUGGUGUUGCUGUUUGGUUCAGGUUUGUUUGAGUAAUGUGUUCAGUGUAUGUUUUGAAUGGUUUAAAGCUCCAUCCCCAUGACAAUNNNNNNNNNNNNNNNNNNNNNNNNNNNNNNNNNNNNNNNNNNNNNNNNNNNNNNNNNNNNNNNNNNNNNNNNNNNNNNNNNNNNNNNNNNNNNNNNNNNNAAUUUGCCAAUUUAUUCAAAUACUGAUUCAGAAAAACACGACACAACUCAUCAUAUCAUUUGUGUUCGCAGGCACAUUUCUGGGCAUUAUUAUUAUUAUUAUUAUACUUAGCCUUGCACUAACUACGGAGCUGAUCAGUGAUCUUUCUCAUCUCUUUUCUCAGUUCCGCUACAAACCCACUUUGGAGAGUGUUAUAGUAGUCCAGGAACCUCGCAGUCACAGACCCGCAACAUAACCCCCGUCCCGCUAGUCCCCUUGGCCAGGUUGCACCCAGUGAGAUGGUGCAUACCCUGCCUUAAGUCUCACAAAAUCUACAAUGCCUGCAAUCAGUCCUCCAGGGAUCUGGAAAUUAAAUCCUGCAAUACCAAUUUAUGAUACAACAUGACACGCCCUCUCGGAAUUUAUAUGAUCUGAAAUGUCUGUGUUGGGUAUGCUAAUAGAAACUGUUUGCUUAGCCGGAAGAGUAUUUCUAGGGUCUUAAAAUGAACAGGGUACCGACAAAGGUGAUGCCAGUUCAAUAGACGAAAUUAAAACCCUUUUUUUACGUGGCAGGUAGAACCAAAUUUUCUAGGAAAAUUACAAUUUGAAGAUGAUGACAGUUGGAUUAAAGACUUUGCCUUCAUGGCACUUCGAAAUGCUGCAUAAUAUCACUGUAAAAGGCAUAUAGGUAUAUCACAAGUGGCAAAACAUACGUCAGCUGGGGUGCCUGCUCCACGUGUUAUUAUUAAUAUUCCUAAAAUAGCUGUAAAGUGUGCAAUUUUGGGAUAUUCAUUUUCUUGUAGAGCGAAGGACGUGCAUGGUAGUAGUAGCACGUGCUUGUAUGUAUUCAUUCAUGGCUUCUAGAUGAUGAAUUAAAUUAGAGAAUUAGGGUUCUGUUUUGAACGCAGCUUUUUGAGGCUUUUGGGGGCGACACCUACCACCAAGUCAUUUAAUCAGCCAAACAAACCCCAAGUUGGGCCUCUUUCUUUGAUUUUAGAUUACUAAAAAAUCAGCAUCUUAAUUACCCAGGCAACCCUUAGUUCAUAUCCAUAGUGUUAAUUAAUUUCCUUAUUGAGAUGAAGCUCAUCCAAAGAGUGACAAAAAACAAAGAGAUGGAUAAGGGAGGGAAUGAUGAAUGGAGAAUGGAGCCGCCCUUGUGUGUUUGCCCCUGCCUGCUUAGCUCUCUCAAGUCGAUCUGGAUAUAACCUGGAACGUUGCUGUCACUGAUUUAUGCAAACAAAUAAGUCUUGCUUUCAAGUCCAAGUCUUCACCCUCUGGUAGUCCAAGUCUUCCUCCCCUUUAAGUCUCAAGUCUUCGUGGGCAUUGAUAUCUAUCCUUAUCUUUUCAUUAUUUUUAUUACUUGCCACUCUAUUUCCUUAAUUUUUUUUUCUUAAUAAAAGUUAAUUUUUGACCAAAUAUUUCUAAUUAUUGUCCAGCAUAGGAAGUAAAGCAAAUAAAACAUCAGUUUAUUUAGUUAAUAAAUCUUACGAAAGAAAUGUAUUUGUAACGUAGAAUUUAUAUAAAAUGUAUUAAGUAAUUUUUGGAAAGUUAAAAUUUUAUUUUCUAAGAAAAUUUUGAUUCUAACUUUCUAGACUUUUGGGCUUAUAUAUUCCUUAUACCUAAAUAUGUUUUAAGGCCAGAUGCUUUCAUUCAAAAAAUAUCCUUAACCUACUCCUAUCAUUCCUAAAAGCACUCAAAGGUUGAACUUUGGAUUGUUGAAGAGAUUUGCAUCUCUUUGGAGGCUAAGGCAAAUCAACUCGAGUAUUUCCGUCGCAACGAUGACGUCAUCUGGAUUCCGGCCCCUUGACGACAAGUCUCUCGUAGAGUACAUAAAGGCCACGCCUGCUCUCUUCUCCAAGCUUGCAAACCAGCUCCAUGGAUUGCAGAUCAAAGAAGUGGGCGACGGCAAUCUCAACUUCGUCUACGUCGUCAUCUCUUCCGCCGGCUCCUUCGUCAUCAAACAGGUACAAAUUUGUAUUCAUUAGGGAACCUCACAACUUUGGAUUCUUACUGAACAAAAAAUGGCUUCACUGUGGAAGAAUUUGAAGUAUUUGUGAAGGUUUGGUCGAAGUGACUGUUUAUUACAAGGAGGGAAUGGAAUAAAUAGAUAGAGCAGAGUGCUCUGCCUUACAUUACCAAACGAGGCUGUACAGCUCAGCACUUAUUCUAACAAGCCAUAUCUAGAAUAUUCUAUACAAAUAUAGCUGUUAUAACAGAUUAAAUAAAUGCUAGUAUGCUAGAACUGUUGUAAGAUGUGGUUGUGUUGAGAGUGCAGGCGUUGCCGUACAUACGUAGUAUAGGGGAAUCGUGGCCGAUGACGAAGGACCGGGCGUAUUUUGAAGCGACGGCUUUGAGAGAGCAGCGUCGCUGGUGCUCCAAUCAUGUGCCGGAGGUUUAUCAUUUUGAUAGGGAAAUGGCUGUAAUCGGUAUGAGGUACUUGGAGCCUCCGCAUAUAAUUCUUAGAAAGGGCCUGAUUGCUGGAAUUGAGUACCCGU